rnacentral:rRNA from 1 species
ACGGAAGGCAGCAGUGAGGAAUAUUGGUCAAUGGACGCAAGUCUGAACCAGCCAUGCCGCGUGCAGGAAUAAGGCCCUAUGGGUCGUAAACUGCUUUUGUGGUGGAGCAAUAAGUCGUACGUGUACGGCGAUGAGAGUACAUCACGAAUAAGCAUCGGCUAACUCCGUGCCAGCAGCCGCGGUAAUACGGAGGGUGCAAGCGUUAUCCGGAUUUAUUGGGUUUAAAGGGUGCGUAGGCUGUGGUCCAAGUCAGGGGUGAAAGCCCGGAGCUCAACUCCGGAACUGCCUUUGAUACUGGAUUGCUGGAAUACGGAUGCCGUGGGAGGAAUGAGUAGUGUAGCGGUGAAAUGCAUAGAUAUUACUCAGAACACCGAUUGCGAAGGCAUCUCACGAAUCCGUCAUUGACGCUGAGGCACGAAAGCGUGGGGAUCAAACAGGAUUAGAUACCCUGGUA